AACAGCAUUGGCCGCUCUGCUGUGUGAGGCUAAAGGUUUGAUCUUCUACGACACUAAAGUCACUGUGAUGAACAGAGUAUUGAAUGCUACGGUGCAGCGAACAGCUGACCAUGCAGCUCCAGAAAUUACUCUGGACCCUCUUGAGAUUGUUGGUGGUGAGAUCAGAUCAUCAGAAAACACCUAUUUCUGCCAGGCAGCACGUCAGUUAUCUUGCGUGCCGUCAUCCC